UACGGGGGGGGCAAGCGUUGUUCGGAAUUACUGGGCGUAAAGGGCUCGUAGGCGGUCAACUAAGUCGGACGUGAAAUCCCUCGGCUUAACCGGGGAACUGCGUCCGAUACUGGAUGGCUUGAGUUUGGGAGAGGGAUGCGGAAUUCCAGGUGUAGCGGUGAAAUGCGUAGAUAUCUGGAAGAACACCGGUGGCGAAGGCGGCAUCCUGGACCAACACUGACACUGAGGAGCGAAAGCCAGGGGAGCAAACGGG
rnacentral:rRNA from 1 species